rnacentral:lncRNA from 1 species
AAGACUUAUAUAUGUCCCACUUACUUACCUAUUUUGACUUGAUGUGGGAAACUAUAUUUGCUACCCCUUCAAUGUCCAUCACUUCUAUGUUAACUUUGUUUUCAUGAUGAAAUACUAAAAAGUAGAUAUAUCUCUACUCUAUUUCUUUAUGUUCCGCAUUGUCAAAAAGAGAGGAAUGUUGGUGAUUGGUGGAAAUAAAGUGAUUUUCAAGAUCAAUAGGAUUUAAAUAUUGAUAAAAAUGAAAAAUUAAAAGAAUGACUUAGGAUAUGAGGGUGCCAACUAGUCUAGUUAGUUAACUUUCUUGUGUUGAUAUAGAAAAUAGAGGAGGUUAGCAUAUAGAAUGACCAAGCUUCACUAAUCCUACUUCUCUAAAAAAAAUAAAAAAUAAAUGACAACAAAAAGGAAAAAGAGGAGGUUAGCAUAUAGUCUGGAACAAGAGAGGCAUGGAAACCGCAUCAUUUCUUAGCCAUAUUUGGUUGCUGGGAAUAGAAAUUAAGCAUGGUUUGUUCAUUUCAAGGAAAUCUAUUCCUGGAUAAUUACUAGUUUUAAUUCUUGUUUUUUGAUAAGCUAGGUAAUUGGAAGAGAGCGAAACAAACCUUAUAGUAUAUAGUCUAAUAUAUUAUUUAUAACCAAUAUUAUUAUAAGACAUAAAUGUUAUAAUAGUGUUUAUAUUUGUAAUAUUAUGGCACUAGUGUUACAAUAUUAUUGUUGAUACCAUAUUAUUAUAAACUAACGAAAACACUUAUCAAAAUAUAUUAAAAUAAUACAAUGUGAUAUAUAAUAUAUGAUUUUGUACAAUUUAUAAUUUCUACAAAUAUAAUAAUAGAAUAUAAAGUAUUAUUCGGUGAAACUUGUGCUAUUAAUAUAGUAAUACAAAUAUUAACAUUAUAACAAAAAUGUUAA